GACGAACGCUGGCGGCGUGCCUAAUACAUGCAAGUAGAACGCUGAAGGAGGAGCUUGCUUCUCUGGAUGAGUUGCGAACGGGUGAGUAACGCGUAGGUAACCUGCCUGGUAGCGGGGGAUAACUAUUGGAAACGAUAGCUAAUACCGCAUAAUAGUAGAUGUCGCAUGACAUUUGCUUAAAAGGUGCAAUUGCAUCACUACCAGAUGGACCUGCGUUGUAUUAGCUAGUUGGUGAGGUAACGGCUCAUCAAGGCAACGAUACAUAGCCGACCUGAGAGGGUGGUCGGCCACACUGGGACUGGGACACGGCCCAGACUCCUACGGGAGGCAGCAGUAGGGAAUCUUCGGCAAUGGACGGAAGGCUGACCGAGCAACGCCGCGGGGGGGAAGAAGGGUUUCGGAUCGUAAAGCUCUGUUGUAAGGGAAGAACGAGUGUGAGAGUGGAAAGUUCACACUGUGACGGUACCUUACCAGAAAGGGACGGCUAACUACGUG
rnacentral:rRNA from 1 species